rnacentral:rRNA from 1 species
GACGAACGCUGGCGGCGUGCUUAACACAUGCAAGUCGAACGGAAAGGCCCUGCUUUUGUGGGGUGCUCGAGUGGCGAACGGGUGAGUAACACGUGAGUAACCUGCCCUUGACUUUGGGAUAACUUCAGGAAACUGGGGCUAAUACCGGAUAGGAGCUCCUGCUGCAUGGUGGGGGUUGGAAAGUUUCGGCGGUUGGGGAUGGACUCGCGGCUUAUCAGCUUGUUGGUGGGGUAGUGGCUUACCAAGGCUUUGACGGGUAGCCGGCCUGAGAGGGUGACCGGCCACAUUGGGACUGAGGUACGGCCCAGGCUCAUACGGGAGGAAGCGGUGGGAACUAUUGCACAAUGGGCGGAAGCCUGAUGCAGCAACGCCGCGUGGGGGAGGACGGCCUUCGGGUUGGAAACCGCUUUCGCUUGUGACGAGGCGUGAGUGAGGGUAAUGGAUAAAGAAGAACCGGCUAACUACGU